GGCUCGGUAGCUUAGUUGGUAAAGCGCUCGUUUAGCAUACUAGAAUCCUAGGUUCGAAUCCCAGCCGAGCAU
rnacentral:tRNA from 1 species